rnacentral:lncRNA from 1 species
AGGAAAGUUGAUGAGGUUGGUGCAAGCUAGAGCUGUGCUAUAGGGAUUCAAGUGUAAGUCAUAGCUGGAAUAGUUGACAGCGAUUCUUCUUAUCGAAGAUGAUCUGAUUUGGUAAGAAAUGUUGUGUAAUAUUAGUGGUGGAUUCUAAUUUCAAUACUGUAACCUGGAUGCGAUCCUGUUGCUUUUAGGGGGUUGAAAUGUCUCUUUCGAAUCAUUUAUUAAAGUUUAAAUGUUCUCUUGAAAUUCUCUUAUUAUGGCUUUCAAGUUUGAAAUUCAGGUUUUGAAAUCAUUUGAUUUAUGUUCUCUUUCAAAAUCUUUUAUUAUGGUUUUCAAGCUUUGAAUUUCAAGUUUUAAAUGCUCUGGAUUUCAUUAUCUUUAAAAAAAAAAUAAUAAAAAAAAAUACAGGUUUUCAAAAGUGUUUAAAAAUGGGUUUUAUGUGGUGACGUCAGAAUCCAGACCCCCGGAUUCUCGGGCUGUCACACGGCGCCGCCGCCGACGGAGUUUAUCGACAAGAACACGCGCGUUAUCUGCCAGGGUAUCACCGGAAAAACGACACUUUUCACACCGAGCAAGCCAUCGAGUAUGGCACCAAAAUGGUACCUGCGCCUCUCUUUCAUUUGCCUAGAUCUGUCUUCUCUGUUGUUUUUCACUUUUUGAAGGUUCCCUUUUAUUUGUAUAUGAAUGUUGUCUUUUUCUUUAUGUAUCAUAUGUUUUGGAUCAUAUGUCAACCUGAAUGUUUAUGUUUUGUUUUCGAGUUGUAGUCACUGUGUCGCUUUUAGUUUGGUUUUAGUUUUGCGUUUUCGGAGUUACAGUACUGUGUUGAAGUCCUGUGAUGCAUAGUUUUGACACGUGGUUUGGUCUGAGUUGCCUCCCGAGUCAUUUAGUUUAACAUCGAGUUGAGUGAAGCCGAGUCGCCUCCCGAGUCAUUUUAUUUAACAUCGAGUUGAGUGAAGCCGUGUUUGAGUAGUUUGAUUUGCUAGUUUUAUGCGCCUUCUGCUGAUUAUUUCACUAGCUUUAAGGAUUGCCUGAAUUUAGUUUUUGAGUAUUGUUUCCUGUUAGUUUCCUUUUUUCAGCCGAGUCGCAGGUUAUUAGUUUUAAUUUUAGGGCAAUGCUAGAGAUCCCAAAAAAAAUUCCCAAAAAUCUUUACCAAAUGAUGUGACAAACAAGUGUCUAGUUAUGAUUGGGUGAUUGAUGAAUCUGCAGGGGGGUCUCAUUAUUUAAGUCAUAGCUGGAAUAGUUGACAGCGAUUCUUCUUAUCGAAGAUGAUCUGAUUUGGUAAGAAAUGUUGUGUAAUAUUAGUGGUGGAUUCUAAUUUCAAUACUGUAACCUGGAUGCGAUCCUGUUGCUUUUAGGGGGUUGAAAUGUCUCUUUCGAAUCAUUUAUUAAAGUUUAAAUGUUCUCUUGAAAUUCUCUUAUUAUGGCUUUCAAGUUUGAAAUUCAGGUUUUGAAAUCAUUUGAUUUAUG